rnacentral:rRNA from 1 species
GACGAACGCUGGCGGCGUGCUUAACACAUGCAAGUCGAACGGCAGGGCCCUGCUUUUGUGGGGUUCUCGAGUGGCGAACGGGUGCGUAACACGUGAGUAACCUGCCCUUGACUUUGGGGUAACUUCAGGUAACUGGGGCUAAUACCGGAUCGGAGCUCCUGCUGCAUUGUGGGGGUUGGAACUUUUCGGCUGUUGGGGUUGGACUCGCGGCUUAUCAGCUUGUUGGUUGGGUAGUUGCUUACCAAGGCUUUGACGGGUAGCCGGCCUGAGAGGGUGACCGGCCACAAUGGGACUGAGAGACGGACCAGACUCGUACGGGAGGCAACAGGGGGGAAUAUUGCACAAUGGGCGGGAGCGUGAGGAAGCAACGCCGCGGGCGGGAUGACGGCCUUUGGGGUGAAAAAAGCUUUAGCCUGUGACGAAGCGUGAGUGACGGUAAUGGGUAAAGAAGCACCGGCUAACUACGUG